rnacentral:rRNA from 1 species
AUUGAACGCUGGCGGCAGGCCUAACACAUGCAAGUCGAACGAGUGGCGGACGGGUGAGUAAUGUCUGGGAAACUGCCUGAUGGAGGGGGAUAACUACUGGAAACGGUAGCUAAUACCGCAUACCAUCGGAUGUGCCCAGAUGGGAUUAGCUAGUAGGUGGGGUAAAGGCUCACCUAGGCGACGAUCCCUAGCUGGUCUGAGAGGAUGACCAGCCACACUGGAACUGAGACACGGUCCAGACCCCUACGGGAGGCAGAAGUGGGGAAUAUUGCACAAGGGGCGAAGGCCUAAUGAACCCAUGCCGGGUGUAUGAAGAAGGCCUUCGGGUUGUAAAGUACUUUCAGCGGGGAGGCGUUACCCGCAGAAGAAGCACCGGCUACCUCCGGGCCAGCAGCCCCGGUAAUA